GGAUCUCACUGGGAGAGCACCAGCUUUGCAUGCAGAAGGUGCCAGGUUCAAAUCCUGGCAGCAUCC